rnacentral:rRNA from 1 species
UACGUAGGUGGCAAGCGUUGUCCGGAUUUACUGGGCGUAAAGGGAGCGUAGGCGGAUUUUUAAGUGAGAUGUGAAAUACCCGGGCUUAACUUGGGUGCAGCAUUUCAAACUGGAAGUCUAGAGUGCAGGAGAGGAGAAGGGAAUUCCUAGUGUAGCGGUGAAAUGCGUAGAGAUUAGGAAGAACACCAGUGGCGAAGGCGGCUCUCUGGACUGUAACUGACGCUGAGGCACGAAAGCGUGGGGAGCAAACAGGAUUAGAUACCCUGGUAGU